rnacentral:rRNA from 1 species
AUGGUGAAUCAGAUUCAGCAGAAGUCUGAGGUUGCUUGCAAGAAGUUUGAAGCUGACAUCUCCGAUCUGAAGACCCGCCUGAGGACACAAGAAACUGAGACCCGGAAGGCCAACGCCAAAUUUGUGUCCAGUAUUGCUGCUCAAGAGAAGCUGAAAAAGGAUUUUGAAGCUGAACGGAAAGCUUGGGCCGAAGAGAAGGCUACUCUGGUGAGCCGGGCCGAACAGGCGGAGAAGGCUCUGACAGAGAAAACCGCCGAACUCUCCGGCUUAAAGCGCCACGUGUCCCAGAUGGUUGCCGCAAUCUUCGGUCCCAGAAGCGCCAACCUCAACCAAAGUGUGGUGACCAAGUUGAAGGCCGUGUACACCCUGGUGGAGCAACUCUACACCGGGUCACAGCGCGCCUUGGCCGUGGUGGCCCUAUCCAAUGAGGUGCCGACUCACCUGGCGGAAGUUCUUCGCCGGCUUGCCGUUCUUCCUCAGCGUGUCCAAGAGCUGCGACGGGCCUCCGCAAGAGCCGGAGCCAUGGCUGCUCUGAGCCGGGCCAAGGCGUUCCUUCCAGAAUUAGACCCGGCGGACAUUGCCCUUGGCUAUCCCAGCUUGAAGGAAGACGGCACCCCCUUCGACCAAAGGGACUUUGCAGCCAGCGUGAAGAUCGUACGCCCGGUGGCCACUCUGAUUGGAAAUGACACGGAUCUGACCAAGUACCAGCCGGGUUACGAUGCAGAGAAUUAG